rnacentral:rRNA from 1 species
AUUGAACGCUGGCGGCAGGCCUAACACAUACAAGUCGAACGAGUGGCGGACGUGUGAGUAAUGUCUGGGAAACUGCCCGAUGGAGGGGGAUAACUACUGCAAACGGUAGCUAAUACCGCAUACCAUCGGAUGUGCCCAGAUGGGAUUAGCUUGUAGGUGAGGUAACGGCUCACCUAGGCGACGAUCCCUAGCUGUUCUGAGAGGAUGACCAGCCACACUGGAACUGAGAAACGGUCCAGACUCCUACGGGAGGCAGCAGUGGGGAAUAUUGGAUAAUGGGCGAAAGCCUGAUCCAGCCAUGCCGAGUGUGUGAAGAAGGUCUUCGGAUUGUAAAGCACUUUAAGUUGGGAGGCGUUACCAACAGAAUAAGCACCGGCUAACUUCGUGCCAGCAGCCGCGGUAAUUC